GGGCAAAGUCAAGCUGAUGAUGAUAUACAGUCAAUUUCGCCGCCACACCCCAGGAUUUUUUUCCAUCGCGUCGGAUAUCUACUGCACCUCUUCGGCAAAGCGUGCCUUUUUGGCACUAUGCGCUAUAGUUCCUCGUCGAAUCUCCUAUUGAAGUCUACCGACUUCAUUCUUGGCCUCAUCAAGUUUCUUUUGAUCCUUUCGCAGUCUCUUUCCUUGGUUGGUGGCCUUUCUU
rnacentral:lncRNA from 1 species